GACGAACGCUGGCGGCGUGCUUAACACAUGCAAGUCGAACGAAGUGGCGAACGGGUGCGUAAUACGUGGGUAACCUGCCCUCCUUUUUGGGAUAAGCCUUGGAAACGGGGUCUAAUACCGACUAAAGGGUGAUGGGCUCGCGGCCUAUCAGCUUGUUGGUGGGGUGAUGGCCUACCAAGGAGGUGACGGGUAGCCGGCCUGAGAGGGUGAACGGCGAAAUUGGGACUGAGAUACGGCGCAGACACCUACCGGAGGGAGCAGUGGGGGAUAUUGCACAAUGGGGGAAAGCCUGAUGCAGUGACGCCGCGUGGGGGAUGAAGGAGUUGGGGUUGUAAACCUCGUUCGCUAUCGAAAGGGAAGGUGGAGAAGAAGCGCCGGCUAACUACGUGCCAGCCGCCGCGGUAAUAC
rnacentral:rRNA from 1 species